CUGCCACCGAAUACAUUAGCAUGGGAUAAUGGAAUAGGACCCUGUCCUCCUAUUUUCAGUUGGUUUUGGCAGCGCGAGGACUAGGGUAAUGAUUAAUAGGGAUAGUUGGGGGCAUUAAUAUUUAAUUGUCAGAGGUGAAAUUCUUGGAUUUAUGAAAGAUUAACUUCUGCGAAAGCAUCUGCCAAGGAUGUUUUCAUUAAUCAAGAACGAAAGUUAGGGGAUCGAAGACGAUCAGAUACCGUCGUAGUCUUAACCAUAAACGAUGCCGACCAGCGAUUAGGAGACGUUGAAUACAAAACACCACCAUCGGUGCGGUCGUCCUUGGCGUCGGUCUUUCGGGGCCGGCGCGGGGACGGCUUAGCCCGGUGGCACCGGUGAAUGACUCCCCUAGCAGCUUGUGAGAAAUCAUAAGUCU
rnacentral:rRNA from 1 species